GCUAAUUGCAACAAGCCAAACUUUCCUCUUUGUAAGAUGGGUUCAGAAUAGGACAUUACCUUGUCUUAAAUCACUUUAUGUGGUCUUCUAAUCAUAGAAGGCUUGUAUAGACUAGGAGCAUGACUAAAGCCUAUCUGAGAAACCUUGUAUAAGUGCAGUUUCAAUGGAAUACAAGGACUGUGAAAGGUUCUGUUUGAACCAAAAUUGGAAAUUUGGUCUAGAAUGAAUGAAGAAUUAUGGCUCAUACAAUAUGGCCAAUAUAUGGCUAAAUUUUGUUUUUUCAUGACUAAGUCAUCUUUUCCAAAAUGCCCAAAUGGACAACUUCAAUGUUCAAGCAAAGUAUUCAUGACAGCGGCAGCAAAUGUUUACAUUAGCAGUGGCAAGUCCUCCUUGUUUGGGCAAGAAAAUCUCAUUUAAUGCUAGCGUCCCCUUCAUGAAACUUGUUCAUUUGGAUGUCUACUACGACAUAUCCAAAAUUGGGAGAAUUUCGAUAAGCAUUGAGUCUUCAGGACAUAAAAUACUGAAGCAUAUUUUCCAGCGCGAUUGAGCUACAGUACAGCCUGAUGAGCCAAAAUGAGAAAUUCACAGAACUCAAAUGAAUUGGCUUGCUUCAUGAAAGUUGUUUAUCUAGAUGGUUCCUAUAACAUAUCCAACAUUGGCGAUUUUUGGAUAAGUAUUGAAUCCUCAGAGAAGCAAACACCAGAUGACAACAACAGUAGCAGCAUUAAGGCCAGGCCAAUGAGAACUUCCAGCACUCACAUGAAGAACUUUCUUCAUGAAAUUUGUUCGUCUAUGUGUCUAGUAUAUUGUAUCCAAAUGGGGUGGAAUUUAGACAAGUAUUAAAUGCUCACGGAAUUAAACACUG
rnacentral:lncRNA from 1 species